rnacentral:rRNA from 1 species
GGCGAACGGGUGAGUAACACGUGAGUAACCUGCCCUUGACUUUGGGAUAACUUCAGGAAACUGGGGCUAAUACCGGAUAGGAGCUCCUGCUGCAUGGCGGGGGUUGGAAAGUUUCGGCGGUUGGGGAUGGACUCGCGGCUUAUCAGCUUGUUGGUGGGGUAGUGGCUUACCAAGGCUUUGACGGGUAGCCGGCCUGAGAGGGUGACCGGCCACAUUGGGACUGAGAUACGGCCCAG